rnacentral:lncRNA from 1 species
UUCGCCACCAUGCCUGGCUAAUUUUUGUAUUUUUAGUAGAACCGGGGUUUCACCAUAUUGGCCAGGCCGGUCUCGAACUCCUGACCUUGUGAUCCACCCGCCUCGGCCUCCCAAAGUGCUGGGAUUACAGGCGUGGGCCACUGCGCCUGGCCAGUGAGAUGCAUCUUUUCAGGUAGUCAGUGUGGAAUCUCAAAUUUGGGAAACAGAUCUCUACAGCUCUCAACCAUUUCAUUCUUAUCCUGGAGGCAGUCAAAAAGAGAUUAUUCCUUUUUAGAAAGAAUUACAUUCAGUCAACAAAUUGUAACAUAUGGAUCAGGAGAAGGAAAAGAUGGUAAAAUCAGCCAAUUUUUAGUAGAUUUGAUGAUAAAAGACACAACGUUGUCAGAGUGCAAAUGGUUCUGAAAUUUGAAAAGGUGACAGAGAUUAGUUUCAAGGGACACAUGGUGUGUCUGGAGUCAGUUUUUAUGUUGAUGGUGUGAGCAGUGACAAGGUAUUAACAAUACCUUCCAAAGUGAGUCAAAAGGUCGGUGAAGUCAUUCUAUUGAGAACGGUCGGGGGCCUCCCACACUGUGAGACAAAAAGAUCACCUUUCACCAAGAACCACAAGUCUGGCUGCAGUGCUGCCCUCAGCAUUAGACAUGGAUUCAGAUUCAAUCCACAGCCUGGUUAUAGUCAGUCUCUUCAGAGAACAGGCUCUUAUUAAAAACUUCUGUUUUUUUUUUUUUUGACGGAGUUUCACUCCUGUCGCCCAAGCUGGAGUGCAGUGGUGCAUUCUCGGCACAGUGCAACCUCUGUCUCCUGGGUUCAAGCGAUUCUCCUGCUUCAGCCUCCCGAGUAGCUGGGAUUACAGGCGCCUACCACCAUGCUUGGCUAAUUUUUGUAUUUUUAGAAGAGACAGGGUUUCACCAUGUUGGCCAACUCAAACUCCUGACCUCAGGUGAUCCACCAGCCUCAGCCUCCCAAAGUGCUGGGAUUACAGGCGUGAGCCACUGCGCCCGGCCAAAGACUUGUAAUUGAGUGACUGGACACAGCAGUAAAUCAGCUGCUGAGGUUAUUUCCAGUUUGCAGCCUGAAAGGUUUCCUUUUUUCAGACAGUCUAUAGUUUUUAAUGCAAAAGACCAAACAGCUAUAAUGUGAGCAAUGACCCUGAGUUCUGACCAUUGAGUGGUGUGACCACCCCACUCAGGUUCCGCAUGGCUGACACUGAAGUUCAGAAGCCACCAUAGACAGUAGCUCAGUGAACACCAUGUAUUGGUAAAGCAGGGACAGAAAUUUAGGGAAUACUUAGUGAAGUGGGGGCCCCAUAGAGCCAGAAGCUUUGCUUCAUAUAGUGCAGCAGGGCAUAAAAUUUCCACCAAAGAUAGAUUCCGAUUUUCCCUUUAGAACUAUUUCUGUGCCAGUCCAAUUUCCUUCUAGAAUACAUUAUUUAUAUUUAACAAGUAGUCUUUUGAGGUCUUUCAUAAGAGUUCAAAUUGACCCACCUCAAAAUUGGAAUACAAAGCUAGGCAGCCCCCAGCCCUCCUUGAGUUUGGAUUCAGUUUGACUGGAGUUCUGUAGCAAGCUUAUAACUGACUUUCACAUUAGUGUAACCUGCAGUGGUGUCAGGGUGGCUAUGAGUCAGACACCCCAAAGAAUAUCUUUAGGUGCAGGCUCUUUUUGUCAAAGGCCUCAAAUGGCAAAGUGAUCAAGUUUUUCUUGACUGCUGGAAGAAUUAAGCAAUGAAAAUAUGUCCACUUAGCUUCACUAAACCUUAUUUGGAAAGCAGAACUCUGGGUUUUUUUCAGGUCUUCUUGUUAUUGAGAAAACAGUGCUUACUAUCCAAUGUGCUAAGAGCCAAUACAUUGAGUUGUCACUGGAUUUUUGUUUUUGAGACAAGCUUUAUGUUGAAAGUUCACUCCCAAAGAGACAGGAGUCCCAAGCCCGAAUCUGUCUCCCUCUGCUGGCAUCAAGGCAGAAUUUCUACUAGAACAGGUACCGGGGGGUAGCUUCUGAGGUUAGGAGGUGACUAGCGGAUGAUAAUGGGAGGUCUGGAAUGUCCAUGGGCAUGCCCAGUUAUCUCUUCAUGCUUCCUCAUGGGUCAUAUGUGCAAAUUUGGGGGGAGUUAGUAGGAAACAUAGUGGAAAUUCAGGCUAUGAUGUCAGCAAGCUCAUUCUGUGCAGAGUCCCAUUGGUUCUAUUGGUUUAAACCAAUUUCAGCUAAUUACUUUUAUCUCGUAAGUGGAGGGAAUUUCAGUGUUUUAGCAAGUUUUUUUUUUUUUUAAUUUGCCAUCCUGUAAACUCAAGGAUUUCUGUUAGUCAUUGGCUUAACUUUUUUUUUUUUUUUUGAGUCGGGGUCUUGCUCUGUUGCCCAGGCUGGAGUCCAGUGGCACGAUCUCAGCCCACUGCAACCUCCGCUUCC